rnacentral:rRNA from 1 species
AACGAACGCUGGCGGCAGGCCUAACACAUGCAAGUCGAACGCCCUAGCAAUAGGGAGUGGCAGACGGGUGAGUAACACGUGGGAACCUUCCCUAUAGUACGGAAUAGCCCAGGGAAACUUGGAGUAAUACCGUAUAAGCCCGAGAGGGGAAAGAUUUAUCGCUAUAGGAUGGGCCCGCGUCGGAUUAGCUAGUUGGUGAGGUAAUGGCUCACCAAGGCGACGAUCCGUAGCUGGUUUGAGAGAACGACCAGCCACACUGGGACUGAGACACGGCCCAGACUCCUACGGGAGGCAGCAGUGGGGAAUAUUGGACAAUGGGCGAAAGCCUGAUCCAGCCAUGCCGCGUGAGUGACGAAGGCCUUAGGGUUGUAAAGCUCUUUUGUCGGGGACGAUAAUGACGGUACCCGAAGAAUAAGCUCCGGCUAACUUCGUG